AGAGAGAGUUCAAUAGACCGUGAAACCGUUGGGAGGGAAGCUCAGGGUGUCGAGGUUGUCGUGCUCCAAUAGGGUUCAGCUGGUGGUGGCCGGGUUGCCGACCGCCCCAGUGCAUUCGCUGCUGGAGUUGGACCGUCAGUUGGGAAGAGUCCGGGACCUGUGCGUCGGCAGUCGGGAGGUAAGCCUUGUCGUUCCUUCGGGUUCACGAGGUGACGUACAGCCGCUCUGUCGUGGUCUCGGUCGUCUUUCAGGUGCGUUGGAUGUCUGUUCGUCCGGAAUGGUAAGGUGCAGCCUCCCCUCGUGGGGGGUCGGGCCGGCCUCACGGUUGCGUCCGCGUGACGAGACGUGCUCCGUGCUCUCUCCGUCUAGUUUCGGCUUGCGGGGUGGAGUGCGGCACGGCCGCCACGUUGGGUGUCCCGCGGGGUCGUGUUCAAGUUCUGUGCCUAGGUGACUGGCGAAGAGUCGUUACCCUGUGCCCCGUCUUGAAAACACGGAA
rnacentral:rRNA from 1 species